UUCGCUUUUGUUAUUUCCGGCGUAAUAGGUAACCUGAGGAUUGUCGUGCCAUUUCGUAAUAAAAUCCUUCAAAUCUUUACCGUUGACAAAACAUUCAACAAACGCUUUUUGAAAGACUCUUCCUCCUUUGGGACCCCAUCCAAAAACGGGAUCAGCAGAUGGAGCACCAUUUACAGCUGGUUGACUUCCAACUGUCCACCAAGAAUUACCAUUUAGUUUUAAAAGAUACUUCGCAAUAGUUUUCGUUUCCACUUCAACAGGCUCAUCAAUCCAUGGAAUUGCUGAUAUGUCACUCAUAAUAUGUUUCUGGAACAAAGAAGUGAUAUCAGAUUCAUCCACCGGAUAUCCCCAAAGUUUUAAUGCUUCACUUGGAGGAAAGUGUAAUGUUGGACCAUAACCGUCAAUUUCACCAUAUGCAGGGGAGCGUGGAUCGCCAAAACGACCAUUUGUAAAAUCGUCCCAAUUUGCUUGACGACCUAAAACUCCACUACCUUCAGAAACGGAGAACGGUGCUUCUUCGGUUAAAUUGUCUUUGUGGCCAGAUACACUACUUUGUUUAGAAGUUACGAAAAGAUUCGACGAUUUGUCGGCAACUGGUUGCUGAGAGGGAACAACUACUUGAUUAUGAAGUUCCGCGGGUUCAUCAAGGCUAAGACGUUUGCGGGUUGUUCGAAGCAAUUUCUCAUCCUCCAUCUCUGACUCAACCUGUUUCCAACGUUUGGUAAGCAAACCGCUGUUUUUAAGGAUAAGAGCAACGGAUCGUUCCAAAUUCAGUGUGCAAAAAUGAAAUCCAUGCACCCGGCCUUGCACAUUGUCCAUUAUCUUUUUAAUCAUAUCAACUAUGUGCUCGACACCAAUGUUUUUUAUAGCUUCAUCAUCUGGUUUAGCUGCAUUAAGGCGCUGCAUUAAGGAAGAGGGAACACUGCAACCACAAAGACGAGUCAUUCUUUUAAGACUUCCAUAGGAUUGAAUAGGCAUAAUGGCGGGAAUAAUGGGAAUAUUUCGUAAAGCAUUAGAGCUAUGAUUCCUAACAAAAUUUUCAAAUUUAAUAAAAGCUUCGGGCUCGUAGAAGAUUUGAGUAAUUAUGAAAUCAGCGCCAGCUUCAACUUUUUCAAUCAGGAAAGGAAUGUCUCGUAACGGAUCUUUAGACAGCUCCGGAACGUUGGAAUCGACAUGACCUUCAGGAUAAGCAGCGACACCUAUACAAAAGUAAUCUCCAUAUUUUUCACGUAUGUAUCGUACUAAAUCCACCGCGUGCUCAAACUCACUAACCUUUCCUUCCCAAUGAUCGCUAUUUAAAGGCGGGUCACCUCGCAAGGCCAAGAUGUUACGAAUUCCAUAUUCCUUAGCAGUUUCGAGAGCCUUAUCGAUUAUGGCUUUAUCUACAUUGGUACACGUCAAAUGUAAACAAGCUGGGAUUUUGUGAUGCUGCUCUAGCAUUUUGGCUAAAUAAAUUGAGACCUCCGCAGUAGAACCAGCUGUACCCCAUGUUACACUAGAAAAUAAUGGCAUCAUGUUUCGCGACAUUCUCGUUAUACGACUAGAAAGAUUUUCCAAACCGACUGUGGUUUUCGGUGGAAAAUACUCAAAUGAGUAGAAUGCGUUUCCAUUAGGAAUUUUAUCAAUCAAAUCAACAAUCUUCAUGAUUGCUUAGGGAUAUCGAAGCAAAAUUGAAGGUAUUUGAGGUGUGCGCUUAGGAAAUGCCCUCUUCGCGAUAAGUUGAAUCAAAUCAUGGAUUCGAUGUAGUAACG
rnacentral:lncRNA from 1 species